rnacentral:lncRNA from 13 species
GUGGCGGCUGGAGGACAGUCUUCAGGUAGUGGUGAGGUAUUGUGUGUUUCUUAAACAUCUUAACAAUAAGAUAUUGUUGAUAAAAUUGUCUUAAUAUACAUUUACUUUCUGAGCUUCUUUACAAUCACUGAGUAUCUUUUACAAUAAUGUUAUACAUAAAUACAAUAUAAUACACAAAUGUAUCAAUAAAGUAUAAAGAAAUAGUGUGGACAGUAUGACUCAGUGAGAGAAGUUAAGGCAUUAUGAGCUAAGUAAUAGGAUAAUGUGCAUUACUCCCCAGGGUGGUGGUGGUGGCAAUGGAGGAGUUGUGAAUGGAGGCAUGGUCGGUAAUGCUGUUAACCCAGGGGUUAUGAAUGGGCUUGCCUUAAAUGGGCGACCCUUUCUGGCACAGCUGGUCCCCAUUGGUGCUCUUCAGCAGGGUGGGGCACUUCCUGUAGAACAGGUGGGAGCAGCCAAUGGCAUGCCACUACAAAAGGGACAGCUUCCUCAACUAGCCAAUGGGGUUGUACCAUUAUUUGCAGUUCUGCCACAGGCAAAUGGCAUCAGAGGCCCCCAGGCUUCAAUGUUGAUGCAGAUUAUUCCUGUGGGUGGAGGAAACAACAUCCAGCAGCCAGCUGCUGGAGGGAAGGCAGGCAAAGCUAGAGUCAAGCAUUCUGUCCCUUUCCAUGGAAUGGCCACAUCAACAAGAACAAAUACUCCACUGGUAUAUUCUCACAGUUAUUCCUCCUCUUAACUUAAUUUCUGACAGUGUGAUUGCCCUUAUAACCCUCAUCAUGUAUUUGAAUGAAUUGCCCUCAAAUAAAGAUGACUCAUUUCCAAAUUACCAAGGCAUCUCUCAAAUUAACCUUUAUCCAUUGUUCACGUUUUAAUGACGUUUUCUCAUGAAACAUGAGGCAACUCAGUGGCCUUGUGGUUAGAGCACAGAGUUUCUAAAUCCAGAGGCGCAACAUCGCGUGUCAUCCGGGAACGCUUGCGAAACAGACCAAGCAGACCAGAGCGGGGUUUGGGGUUUGAGAAGUCAAUGAGAGAAGUUUAAAAAAAUGUUUCCAUUGCUAAUUUUCUCUUAAUGUAAAGGACAACCUAGAUUCGAGCCAAUUUCUUAAGUAGUUGAACAUGUUAUUACUCCAACCUAGUGGAAGUGACAAAUAGACACUUUUUCAUUUUCAUCAAAAAUAACUUUAUAUCGAAGGAGUGCCUUUGAUUUGAUGGCCUGGACAUGCACAGUUCGACUGCAGAAGGCUGUU